GGAGGAGGCAAGCGUUGUCCGGAAUCAUUGGGCGUAAAGAGCGCGUAGGCUGUUUUUCAAGUCAUUUGUGAAAACCUCAGGCUUAACUUGAGGACUGCAUAUGAAACUGGAAAACUUGAGUGCAGUAGGGGAAAGUGGAAUUCCUGGUGUAGCGGUGAAAUGCGCAGAUAUCGGGAAGAACACCGGUAGCGAAGGCGGCUUUCUGGGCUGCUACUGACGCUGAGGCGCGAAAGCUAGGGGAGCAAACAGGAUUAGAUACCCUGGUAGUCCUAGCUGUAAACGAUGGACACUAGGUGUGGGGAGUUAUCGACGCUUUACGUGCCGGAGCUAACGCAUUAAGUGUCCCCGCCUGGGAGUACGGUCGCAAGACU
rnacentral:rRNA from 1 species